rnacentral:rRNA from 1 species
AUUGAACGCUGGCGGCAGGCCUAACACAUGCAAGUCGAACGGUAACAGGCAGAAGCUUGCUUCUUUGCUGACGAGUGGCGGACGGGUGAGUCAUGUCUGGGAAACUGCCUGCUGUAGGGGGAUAACUACUGGAAACGGUAGCUAAUACCUCAUAACUUCUCAAGCCCAAAAAGGGUGACCUUCGGGCCUCUUGCCGUCGUAUGUGCCCAGAUGGGAUUAGCUAGUAGGUGGGGUAACGGCUCACCUAGGCGACGAUCCCUAGCUGGUCUGAGAGGAUGACCAGCCACACUGGAACUGAGACACGGUCCAGACUCCUACGGGAGGCAGCAGUGGGGAAUAUUGCACAAUGGGCGCAAGCCUGAUGCAGCCAUGCCGCGUGUAUGAAGAAGGCCUUCGGGUUGUAAAGUACUUUCAGCGGGGAGGAAGGGAGUAAAGUUAAUACCUUUGCUCAUUGACGUUACCCGCAGAAGAAGCACCGGCUAACUCCGUG